rnacentral:tRNA from 1 species
CCGUCUCCGGGAAAUCUCGGGGGCGUCUCAGGGACACCUCCGGGGCGUCUCCGGGUCGUUCGAGGCCACGGGAGGGGGG